rnacentral:rRNA from 1 species
GACGAACGCUGGCGGCGUGCUUAACACAUGCAAGUCGAACGGUGAAGCGCCUUCCUUUUUGGUGGGUGUGGAUGAGUGGCGAACGGGGGAGUAACACGUAAGUAACCUGCCCCCUUCUUCUGGAUAACCGCAUGAAAGUGUGGCUAAUACGGGUUAUUCUGGGUCUGUCGCAUGAUGGGUUUGGGAAAGAUAUUGUUUCGGUGGGGGAUGGGCUCGCGGCCUAUCAGCUUGUUGGUGGGGUGAUGGCCUACCAAGGCGGUGACGGGUAGCCGGCCUGAGAGGGUGGACGGUCACACUGGGACUGAGACACGGCCCAGACUCCUACGGGAGGCAGCAGUGGGGAAUAUUGCACAAUGGGCGCAAGCCUGAUGCAGCGACGCCGCGUGAGGGAUGGAGGCCUUCGGGUUGUGAACCUCUUUCGCCAGUGAAGCAGGCCUGCCUCGUUUGUGGGUGGGUUGACGGUAGCUGGAUAAGAAGCGCCGGCUAACUACGUG